UGGGGAAUAUUGGACAAUGGGCGGAAGCCUGAUCCAGCCAUGCCGCGUGUGUGAAGAAGGCCUUUUGGUUGUAAAGCACUUUAAGCGAGGAGGAGGCUACUUGGAUUAAUACUCUAGGAUAGUGGACGUUACUCGCAGAAUAAGCACCGGCUAACUCUGUGCCAGCAGCCGCGGUAAUACAGAGGGUGCGAGCGUUAAUCGGAUUUACUGGGCGUAAAGCGUGCGUAGGCGGCUUCUUAAGUCGGAUGUGAAAUCCCUGAGCUUAACCUAGGAAUUGCAUUCGAUACUGGGAAGCUAGAGUAUGGGAGAGGAUGGUAGAAUUCCAGGUGUAGCGGUGAAAUGCGUAGAGAUCUGGAGGAAUACCGAUGGCGAAGGCAGCCAUCUGGCCUAAUACUGACGCUGAGGUACGAAAGCAUGGGGAGCAAACAGG
rnacentral:rRNA from 1 species